rnacentral:lncRNA from 1 species
ACGGACCCUCUGGAUUCUAAUGAAAGCAUAUCUGACAACGUGGGGAGUGACUUAGGACUGACUGGAACUUCCCUUUCCGACAUAUUGCCUUCUGAAACUGGGAUCUGAAGUCUUAGUCUCGAACCAGUGGGGUGUGACCACUGUCCUCAACAUGAAAGAUAAAGGACUCUCAGUCUCACGGCAAACUCUUUCCUGGCGUUCACAUCCAUUACUUAGAGUGAACUCAUUAUUCAUUUCUCCCUCAGCACAGAAAUUUGCAUUUUGCACAAAAUUUACCUUGUGCAGCAGAUUCUUACAGUUAUGGGAUGUGGGGCUGCUCAACUUCCUGGCUGAGGGAGGAAGUGACCCAUCUGGCUGGUGACUAUCAAAUUCCUACAACUGUAACAAGGAGUCUUACUCCAAUUAGUCGCCAGUUCAAGAAGCAUUGGCUUUUGAAACACUGUAUUUCCCCAUCUCUUUCAAAACUCAUUACACACAGGUAUCAGGAUGUAGAACAGUGUUGAGUGCUAAAUUUCAACCCUUGUGUGCAUAUUCUCUACACUUUUUAUUCAUGUGGCAAAUGCACAAUUUGGUCUGAAGGGACAUGCGACCAUGUGAGCAUACGGAGUCACCGUGGGGAGAAGAGGAGUCAGGAAGAAGUCAGGUCUGGCUGGGAGAGUGGCUUGCUUGUUUCUGUACACAGACAAUUCCUUGCUUAUGGUGGGGAAACAUGUGGCUUCUUGGGUAGUGAAUAUCCCCCACUUCUUUCUAUGGUUAAAUUAUUUUGUUUUGAUAAAAAUAAAACUU